rnacentral:lncRNA from 1 species
CGUUACCUAAGUUUAGGGAGCAUUGGAACAAUUAACACCCAAUUCCGGAAUUUCUCCUCGGGCAAAACCCUAGUGCAGCCUAUCAAUUUCCCUCUCCCACCAAUUUUGUUUCGCUCGGCGUUUGUGUGUUGCGUGUGGCAAGUUCCGGUUCCAAAUGGCCCCAGCUAAAGGUGAGCAUUUUCGCAGCUAUGGAUUUUAGGUUCAUAAUCUUUUCUAGCAUUUAAAUGCAGUGAAAUUCAUAUAUACAUUUGAGAAACUGUGCACAUUCUAUUCACUCCUUUAGUAGUUUUGUUAGUAUCUUUCCUUGUAUAUAAACGGUGGAUAUUGUACAAAUUUAUUUUAUUCAAAAUUUUUACGACUUGAAAGUAUUUUUCAAGAAUUUGUGAUUUUUGCAGCAAUAGUUUUUGCUAUCUGGCCUAACUAAUGUGGGGGUGCUCGAAGUACCAUUAACAUGUUGGAAUAAUUAAUAAUUGACUUCACAUUCGAUUGCAAAAUUUUACGGGUUUGAUAUAUGGUUCAUAAUGAUAAUUGUGUUUGGACCAGAUUUAUUAAGUGAUCAAUUGGGCAUUUUACACCUUACGGGUUGUAAUUAAUUUGAUGUGGUAAUUUAAAAUAUGUGGGCCGAAAAUAAAUCCUAAUUAGAAUUUUAGUCGUAAUGGGACGGCUCAAUUAUUUCCUAUAUAAAGGCUAGAUCCCCUCUCCUCUCGAUAUAUAUUUCAUUAGCUAGCCCCAUUGAUAGCUAAUACUUUUGUGAAAAGCAAGGAGAGGAAAAUUUUGACUGCUAAUAUAACAAUUAUUCAUAUCAACAAUGACUUCCACAGAUAUGAAUUCGUUUUAUUAAUUUAUUAUGUGGUGAUUCUUGAUUCUUGGCAUGAUUACAAAUAAAUAUUAUCAUAACGUUAACAGUGAAAGUGGGAUACAGAAUGUUAAAGUAGACUUUUAUGAUAGAUAAUUUCUCGUUGCUAUGAAAGAUUGGGGGAAAUGGUCAUGGUUAGUUGUUGAAUAAUGGCUGCGAGCCUCCGAUUUGUAAUUGGUGGAAGAAGAUAAUUUUUUUUAAUGGUUUAUUAGAUAGCUGCUUUACAAAUAGAGGAUUAUUAUUCAGAGACGGCUGGAUUUUAUUGUAUAUAUUUUUGUGAAUUCUUAUUAAAGAAGCAAAAAUGAUUUGCAUUGACUAUUUGUCAUCUCCAUUGGCAUUGCAAGAAAGGAAUACAAUUGUACUCAGAACUCAUUCAUUAACAGACCCUAAUUUUUCUUCAGAGUUGUACAGUGUAGAGUAGAGUACUCGCAGCAGAUAUCAAUUAUGUUCAGCAAUUGUCUGACCCUUAGACAAUAUUUUAUACUCGUGGCAAUUUCCAAUGGUUGAAUUGUUUUCUGUUAUAACGCAUUACAUCUGUUGCUAAAAUACUGUUGUCUAUGUUAAUUUCAAUUCAUGUAAUUCGUAGUUGACCCGGCAAAAAGGUCAGACCCAAAGGCUCAGGCCUUGAAAGCUGCCAAGGCCGUGAAAUCAGCUUCGACAACGUUUAGAAGAAGUCAAAGAGGAUUAUUUCACUGACCGAAAACAUUGAAGAAGGAUAGGAAUCCCAAGUUUCCUCGCAUUAGAGCUCCUUCUAGGAACAAGCUUGAUCAUUACCAGAUUCUGAAAUAUCCACUCACCACUGAAUCUGCGAAGAAGAAGAUAGAAGACAACAAUACCCUUGUUUUCAUUCGUGCUGACAAGAAGAAAAUAAAGGAUUCAGUCAAGAAAAUGUAUGACACCAGACAAAAAUAAAAAAAAGUGAACACUCUGAUCAGGUAAAGAAGAACUGCUUGCUCAUUUACUCUGCGCUCAUUAUUGUUUUGCUUCAACUAAUUUAAUUUCACUGACUAAUGAAGAUAUUGUUAUUCUCCCAUUAUUCUUUUUGUUCGUUUGUUUAAUUCUUGCCUUCGCAAGUUCUCGUGUUCUGUUGUGCUUGGAUGCCAGUUUUAGAAAUUUUACUCAUUUGCAUUAAAGAAUUGAUGUUGGCAGCCUUCUAUGUUGAAAUGCUUUAUUUUGGAAAGAAUGAUAUUUUGUGAAUGUUACCGUAGUAUGACUCACCCAAUCAUCUUAUCAUAUUACUGCUUAGCAUAUUUAAAAAUCUCUUUGCUGUGAAUGGUCAGCUAUGUUAGGCCCUUCUAUGCUAGUAGUCGUGAUUAUAAUCUUACUUUUGGAAAUUAUAGCAUGCCAGAUGACACUUGUGUUCGAUUUGUUCAUGUAAUCUGUUUUAGGUUCUCAACAAGUAAUAGUUUCUUCUCUCGGUUACAAGUCACUCGCCCUCUUAUUAUUGCAGAAAUUUAAUACGCUGUCAUUUAUUUUUCUCCCGCUUCAGGCCAGACGAGACUAAGAAGGCUUAUGUUCGUUUGACGCCUGACUUUGAUGCUUUGGAUGUUGCAAACGAGAUUGGAAUCAAAUAAGUACCUGGCUCUCGAGGUUUGAAUUUGUGAUUUUUUUGGUAGAAUCUACCAGCGGCACUUGGAUUAUGUAAACAACCGUGCUACUUGGCCAGGGCCUUGGUUUUUCAGGGACAUGUGUCCCUCAUUGGCAGGGAGUCUGUCAAGUAGAAUAAUUCUUACAACCGAGCUACAGGAACCAUGGGAGUGAUUGUGGGGAUGACUGCGCGCGCGCACACACACACGGGUUUGAGACUUUUUAAUUCACGCGGGAUCCACUCGUCCCAUGUGAGGGCACGAUCAUCCACGUGGUCAUCGGUGUGGAUCGUUUAGCUUUAUUCUAAUUUUUAUGUAAAACUUGGUUGUGGUGAAACUUCUUUCAUUUCAUCUAAACGUUUGAUAUUCCAAAUACUGUAAUGAAUAAGUUGAACAUUAUAUUUAAU